AUGGCUCCCCCCUUCCCCCUCAUACUCCUCCUCCUCGUCGCCGUCGCCGGGGCAGGCGCCGACGCCGCCGCGCCGCCGAAUGGGCACGCGUGCGCGUCGGCUGAGGCCAACUCCUACGCGUUCUGCGACGCCUCGCUGCCGUUCCCCGUCCGCGCGCGCGCCCUCGUCUCCCUCCUCACCCUCGACGAGAAGAUAGCGCAGCUCUCCAACACCGCGGCGGGCGUGCCCCGCCUCGGCGUCCCGCCCUACGAGUGGUGGUCCGAGUCGCUCCACGGGCUCGCCGACAACGGCCCGGGCGUCAACUUCUCCUCGGGCCCCGUCGCCGCGGCGACCAUCUUCCCGCAGGUCAUCCUCUCCGCCGCCGCCUUCAACCGCUCGCUCUGGCGGGCGGUGGCCGAGGCCGUCGCCGUGGAGGCGCGCGCCAUGCACAACGCCGGCCAGGCCGGGCUCACCUACUGGGCGCCCAACAUCAACGUCUUCCGCGACCCGCGCUGGGGCCGCGGCCAGGAGACGCCCGGCGAGGACCCGGCCAUGAUCGCCGCCUACUCCGUCGAGUAUGUCAAGGGCUUCCAGGGGGAGUAUGGCGACGGCAGGGAAGGCAGGAUGAUGCUCUCCGCCUGCUGCAAGCACUACAUCGCCUAUGAUUUGGAGAAAUGGGGCAAGUUUGCGCGCUACACCUUCAAUGCCGAGGUAAAUGCGCAAGAUUUCGAGGACACGUACGAGCCUCCUUUCAAGAGCUGCAUACAGGAGGGUCGUGCAAGUUGCUUGAUGUGCUCAUACAACCAGGUAAAUGGUGUGCCAGCAUGUGCCCAUAAAGAUCUGCUGCAGAAGAUUAGAGAUGAAUGGGGAUUUAAAGGGUACAUCGCAUCUGAUUGUGACGCUGUGGCAAUAAUCCACGAAAACCAGACAUACACGAGUUCAGACGAGGAUUCAGUAGCGAUUGUUCUUAAGGCUGGAAUGGAUGUCAACUGUGGGUCUUUCCUGAUUCGGCAUACAAAGUCGGCUAUCGAGAAAGGAAAGAUACAAGAAGAAGAUAUCAACCAUGCUCUUUAUAACCUGUUUUCUGUUCAGCUUCGCCUUGGACUUUUUGAGAAAACCAGUGAGAAUCAAUGGUUCACUCGACUAGGCCCCAGCAAUGUUUGCACAAAAGAGCACAGGGAGCUCGCAGCAGAAGCUGUAAGGCAGGGAACCGUCUUGUUGAAGAACGAUAACAGUUUUUUGCCUCUAAAGAGAAGUGAAGUUAGUCAUAUUGCUAUAAUUGGAGCGGCAGCAAACGAUGCAUACAUAAUGGGUGGAGAUUACACAGGUGUUCCCUGUGAUCCUAUCACCUUCCUUAAAGGCAUGCAAGCCUUUGUUCCGCAAACAACCGUUGCUGGCGGUUGCAAAAAUGUAUCAUGUGACUCAACGGAUGGAUUUGGUGAAGCCAUUGAAGUAGCUAAAAGAGCUGAUAUUGUUGUUGUGAUUGCUGGGUUGAACCUGACUCAGGAGACCGAAGAUCUUGAUAGAGUGACCCUUCUCCUUCCAGGCAAGCAGCAGGAUCUCGUAAAUAUUAUUGCCAGUGUAACAAAGAAGCCUAUUGUGUUGGUUAUCACGGGCGGGGGUCCCGUCGAUGUUUCUUUUGCGAAGCAAGAUCCAAGAAUUGCAAGUGUCCUGUGGAUUGGAUAUCCUGGGGAAGUUGGCGGACAGGUUCUCCCAGAAAUUCUUUUUGGAGAGUACAAUCCAGGAGGAAAGUUGACUAUGACUUGGUACCCCGAAUCCUUCACCGCGGUUCCAAUGACCGAUAUGAACAUGAGAGCCGACCCUUCGCGUGGCUACCCUGGAAGAACAUAUCGGUUCUACACCGGAGAUGUGGUAUACGGUUUCGGUUACGGUCUGAGUUACACAAAGUACUCAUACAACUUCUUGCAAGGUCCAAACAGAAUCAGCCUGUCACAUUCACCAGUUCCAGGCCUCAUCAGUAGGAAGCCUGCAUACACACGGAGGGACGGGCUGGACUACGUCCAGGUUGAAGACAUCGCGUCAUGUGAAUCCCUAGUCUUCUCUGUCCACAUCUCGGUCACCAACGAAGGUGCCAUGGACGGGAGCCACGCCGUCCUGCUGUUCACGAGAUCGAAGUCAAGGGUUCCUGGCUUCCCUCUGAAGCAGCUGGUUGGUUUCGAGCGCGUCUACACUGCUGCCGGCAGAUCAACCAACGUGGAGAUCAAGGUGGAUCCCUGCAAGCACAUGAGCGCGGCCAACACUGAAGGCAGAAGGGUGCUGCUCCUGGGAUCCCAUCAUGUCAUGGUAGGAGACGAAGUGCACGAGUUUGUCAUCGAAGCAUAA
rnacentral:rRNA from 1 species